rnacentral:rRNA from 1 species
GACGAACGCUGGCGGCGUGCUUAACACAUGCAAGUCGAACGGAAAGGCCCUGCUUUUGUUGGGUGCUCGAGUGGCGAACGGGGGAGUAACACGUGAGUAACCUGCCCUUGACUGUGGGAUAACUUCAGGAAACUGGGGCUAAUACCGGAUAGGAGCUCCUGCUGCAUGGUGGGGGUUGGAAAGUUUCGGCGGUUGGGGAUGGACUCGCGGCUUAUCAGCUUGUUGGUGGGGUAGUGGCUUACCAAGGCUUUGACGGGUAGCCGGCCUGAGAGGGUGACCGGCCACCUUGGGACUGCGGUACGGAGCAGACUCCUACGGGAGGCAGCAGUGGGGAAUCUUGCACAAUGGGCGGAAGCCUGAUGCAGAAGCGCCGCGUGCGGGAUGCCGGCCUUCGGGUUGUAAACCGCUUUCGCCUGUGACGAAGCGUGCUUGACGGUAAUGGGUAAAGAAGCACCGGCUAACUACGUG